CAGAAGGGGCAAGAAGAGUUCGGUUCAUCAUGGGGCUAUAUGCAAAAACCCAGGAGAAGUCACCCAAAGAGCUGACCAAUGAAUGGUCAUUGAAGAUAAGAAAGAAAAUGAGAGUUGUUGACAGGCAAAUAUGAGAUAUCCAAAGAGAAGAAGAAAAAGUGAAAUGAUCUGUGAAAGGUGCUGCCAAGAAAGGCCAGAAGGAUGUCUGUGUAGUUCUGGCCAAGGAGAUGAUCAAGUCCAGGAAGACUGUGAGCAAUCUGUAUGCAUCCAAAGCUCCCAUGAACUUGAUGCUCAGGGGCAUGAAGAACCAGCUCGUGGUUCAGCGAGGGGCUGGCUCCCUGCAAAAGAGCACAGAAGCGAUGAAGGCCAUGCAAAGUCUCGUAAAGAUGUCAGAAAGUCAGGCCACCAUGUGACAGUUGUCCAAAGAGAUGAUGGAGGCUGGGAUCAUAGAGGAAAUGUUAGAGGACACUUUUGAAAGUAUGGAUGAUCAGGUAGAAAUGGAGGAAGAAGUAGAAAUGGAAAUCGACAAAAUUCUGUUUGAAAUUACAGCAGAAGGAACCUUGGGCAAAGCACCCAGUAAAGUGACCGAUGUCCUUCUAGAGUCUGAACCUCCAGGAGUGAUGGCAUUCUCAGAUGACAAGGAGGAGAAAGAGGCUUUGGAGGCCAUGCAGUCCCUGCUGGCCACACUGCACAGCUAGGGGCUGCAC